AUGACAUGUUAUGGGAAGAGUAAAAAAACGUUUGCUUCGUAUCAUUACAUCAGAUCAUAGCCUAUCGUAUGUGUACAGGUUUAGCUUAGUUUAAAAACAGUCUAACGAUUUUAUAAUAAUAGUCUGUUGAUUUAGGUUCGUUAUUUAACGUUAUUAAAUAUAAAUCCAACAAGCUAUGCGUUGCAAAUAUGUACCGUCAAAGGACUAUGGCGGGCGGAGACAGAAACACAUUGAGGAGUGCGCUCUGUCUAGCGUUUUCAUUUUACUGGUAGUUUGUUGCUGAAAAUGUGCUUGUUUAAACAGUGCUUCUAGAAUAAACUCUCUGAUGUUAUCUACAUUAGCUAACGUAACUUAGCUAGCUAGCUUAUGAAGGAAAACUACUUCAGAGACUACCAGCUGUUCCACAAGGGCAGCUGGAAAAUGCACAGUCCAAGGUGUUGAAUCUUUAAUAUUUUACCUGGCAGGUAAAACCAAGGGUCAGACUGAAUUUUUCAGUUGGCUGUUUUUAAGGAAUAUUGAUGGCAUCGAAAAGUAUGUGUGACUUUCCAAAACAAUUAUUGCGAAGUGGUUAUGCAACACACCUGCUGUGAACAGUGACUGACUCAAAGCCUACGUUUCUGCAGAUACACAGCCCACCUACAGUCUGUAGGCAAGACCAUCACAUACAGUUCCUCGAAUACUUUGGGGAAACCCUACCUGCCCAGUCUCUGAAUGCGAUGGAUGUGGUGAGAGUGCUGCACAGGGGAUUUUGUGAUCUCUGGAAUACAAGACUCUUGGAGACUGACGAGUUUCGCUGGCUGGAGAGGUGUCUGGAGCUGCAGGCGGCCAGCAAGCCACCAAACCAGCUGGUUUUUUUCAUGGCUGGGAAGGGCCCAUGCUAAAACUUCUUGCACCACCUGCAGGUAGCGUGGGCAGAGAUCCGCCUUAAAGGGUCCCCCAACUUCACUGACCUGAGGACUGCUGUGUUUGCGCAUGCCAAGAACAACCUGCCUGCCGAGCAGCGGACGAUGGUGGCCACCUUGAUGUGCAACAACACGGCCACAGCUGACUGCUUCUACGCCCUCAGCCUGAACGUGGCCCAGUCAAAGAGGGUGAGGGAGCAUUUCCGCCAGGCCCUCACCCACCCCGUGCCAUCACCAGAGUCACCAGAAGCCUCCUCCUCCUCCACCACCAGGAAGAGCUCCUGCAAGCCUGAGUCCUCCUCCAGUUCCAAAGACGAAACCCCUGUCCCCUACCAGGAGUCGGUGACCUCGGGACUGGAGUAGCAGAGGGAGUUCAUUAGGGCUGCAACAACGAAUCGAUAAAAUCGAUAAAAUUCGAUUACUAAAAAAGUUGGCAACGAAUU